rnacentral:siRNA from 1 species
UACCGGUGUAGACUCGGGCAACAG